rnacentral:tRNA from 1 species
CGGAGUGUAGCGCAGUUUGGUAGCGCAUAUCGUUUGGGACGAUGGGGUCGCAGGUUCGAAUCCUGUCACUCCGA